rnacentral:sRNA from 1 species
GCCGGGCAUGGUGGUGCUCGCCUGUAAUCCCAGCGGCUUGGGAAGCUGAGGCAGGAGGAUCAUGAGUUCAAAGUCAGCCUCAGCAAAGGUGAGGCACUAAGCAACCCAGUGAGACCCUGUCUCUA